CGGGCAGCGCUGCGUCCGUCUGUCCUUGCCGGAAGAAGGAGGAGGAGGAGUCUGGGGGCACCUCGAAGGCCUAACCGUUUUAUGGGGCCGGGAGAGCUUUCCUGGGCUGCCCGAGACCCCACUUCUGAGGUGGCGGGUGGCGUCUUGCUUCUUCUAAAAUGGCCGACCUCUUUGGAACCCGCCUGCAUUGAUAAAAGGAACGAAUUGGCUCCUUGUCAUAGGACCUCUCUGCAAACUGAUCAGAACAAACGCUCAAUAAAGGCUAGAUACAAUCUUAACUGCGUAAAUGUCCUGCAAGCAAGUCAGGAGGAAUCCUCAGUAAAUAGGAGGAGUCCUAAGAAGGGAGACCAAGUGUGGCCUUGAAGUUUCCCAUCAACACCACCUAGACAGACUGAGCAGGCACACAGAUUCACAGGUGUCCUCACCGUGGGCAUAAAAAGGACUGGGCCAUCCUUAGGAGUUGUAUGCAGCCCUGUGUAUCUUUUCAGGUGAUCCUGAAAUCCU